UGGGAUGUAGCCAAGCGGUAAGGCUGUGGACUCUGAAUCCACCAUGCAAAGGUUCGAAUCCUUUCAUCCCAG
rfam:Holdemania filiformis DSM 12042 genomic scaffold Scfld10, whole genome shotgun sequence.